ACUGUCUAAAAAUCACUCAAGGCUUGUUCUGUGGCGGAGAAGAGACCAUGGUACCCACUGUGAUGAGGGGUCUUUAAGCUUACCAUCUACAGACUGAGUACAGGGGAUAAAACCCAGACCUUGACAAAC
ensembl:snoRNA